rnacentral:lncRNA from 1 species
UAGGUUGCAGGGGACAGGUACACCAUUUUCAUGGCAGUUGAUGAUGUAGAGAAGAUACAGGAAAAUGGACCAAUAACAAGUUAUAUCCAUUGGAUUGAAUGCUAUAAUGGAGGUGAAACACUCAUCUUCACUUUUUACAUGAAAAUACAAUGAUAUCAGGGAUACUUGCAACAUCAUCAUCUCCAUGGCAUUGGAAUCAUCAAUAUGCAAAUAAAAUAGGGUUUUUGUCAAAAUGUAAUUUCUUCUUUCCUAGGAAGUCGUGAACUUCGCUAGAUGGGUUGCCUACUUGUCCCCUUCAAUACCCAAUUUUAUGUUGCUGGAUUUAUAAAUGAUUACAUAAAUUGAUUUAAUAAACAUAUGUAU